rnacentral:tRNA from 1 species
GCAUAUAGCUUAGUGCUAGAGCACUUGCCUAGCAUGUGCAAAGCCCUGGGUUUGAUCCCCAGCACUGCA